AACCAUUUCUGAGUUUUUCUGGUUAUUUUAAAGAGGGUAGAACUGAACUCACAUCAAAGCCUUUACAGUAAACACCAUGUAUCCCCUCUUAAUUGCAAAGCUGGCCUAUAUAUUUUUUUAAGAUAAAGGAAAAGCAAACAGUGAUCCCUUUCUAAGUUUGCAGUUCACAAUGAACCUUACCAAGUAGUUGGAAUGAACUGUAGUCCAGUUACUUACUGCAUUGGGUACAAUACAUGCUUGUGUACACCCUGGAUUGCUUGUGUUUUUCCUUUUCAGGAUUUUUGCUUUGUUUUCAAAGUACACUUCUCUGAUAUUUAUUUUAAAUUUACUUCACAUACUGUUUUUUUGCAAUGGAAUCUCACUAUGUUGCCCAGACUAGUCUCAAACUCCUGGGCUCAAAGGAUCCUCCUGCCUCAGCCUCCCAAGUAGCUGAGAUUACAGGCACACACCACUGUCCCAGCAGUUCUCUGAUAUUUAGAAGCAUUGAGAUAUGGAAUGUGAUCUGCCUGUGAUUUUCUUUCCAGUGAGAAUGGCUCAGGUGUUUGCUGUUUGGUAGAGCCUACCCAAUCAUUGAAGGCAGUAGAGUUGAAGCAUGGUUUUACCUGAAAAAUGUGCAAUGGCACUAUCCUGGCUCACCACAACCUCCACCUCCUGGGUUCAAGCAAUUCUCCUGCCUCUGCCUACCAAGCAGCUGGUAUUACAGGCAUGCACCACCACACCCAGCUAAUUUUGUAUUUUUAGUAGAGACAGGGUUUCUUAGUGUUGGUCAGGCUGGUCUCUAACUCCUGACCUCAGGUGAUCUGCCCACCUAGGCCUCCCAAAGUGCUGGGAUUACAGGCAUGAGCCACUGUGCCUGGCCAUCUGAAAAGCACUUUCUAUGCUUAUAUUGGCAGCACAUAUACUAAAAUUGGAAUGAUACAGAGAAGAUUAGCAUGGCCCCUGCUCAAGGAUGACAUGUAAAUUUAUGAAGCAUUUCAUAUUUUGUAACUUUAAAAAAAAAAAAAGGCACUUUCUAGGGGUGGCAAUCAGAAUGUCUGUGUGUUUUUUAAGUGCCUCAAGCCUCCUGUCAGACUCAUUUCUCCCUUUGAGGCCUGUGAAGUAAGCACCCCAGAAGCACACUUAUAAUUGCUGAUGACAUCUUUUUAAGCUAUUCAAUAAAUUAUGAGGAAGUGCAGGUUUCCCCACAGCUAAACUUCUUUUAUUUGCUAAGGACCAUAUAUUGUCCAUCUCCAAAUCAACAGAUAUUUGUUUUUCUGCAAAACACAAAAGACUACUUGUGUAAAACAGAAUUGGAUUUUUAACUGUCAGUUUUCCUGAAAAUUAUCUUUUAAUUUUUUUUCUGAUUGUGCUAUUUUUCUCCACAAUAAAGAGAAAGGGUUCCCCUGACUCACUG
rnacentral:lncRNA from 1 species